rnacentral:rRNA from 1 species
UAGUCUACGCCGUAAACGAUGGAUACUAGUUGUUUGGCUUUCGGGCUGAGUGACUAAGCGAAAGUGAUAAGUAUCCCACCUGGGGAGUACGUUCGCAAGAAUGAAACUCAAAGGAAUUGACGGGGGCCCGCACAAGCGGUGGAGCAUGUGGUUUAAUUCGAUGAUACGCGAGGAACCUUACCAGGGCUUAAAUGUAGUCUGACAGCUUUAGAGAUAGAGUUUUCUUCGGACAGAUUACAAGGUGCUGCAUGGUUGUCGUCAGCUCGUGCCGUGAGGUGUCAGGUUAAGUCCUAUAACGAGCGCAACCCCUGUUGUUAGUUGCCAUCAAGUAAAGUUGGGGACUCUAGCGAGACUGCCGGUGCAAACCGCGAGGAAGGUGGGGAUGACGUCAAAUCAUCACGGCCCUUACGUCCUGGGCUACACACGUGCUGCAAUGGUAUAGACAAUGAGCAGCCAGUGGGCAACCACGAGCGAAUCUAUAAACUAUAUCACAGUUCGGAUCGG